CCUACGGGAGGCAGCAGUGAGGAAUAUUGGUCAAUGGACGGAAGUCUGAACCAGCCAUGCCGCGUGCAGGAAGAUGGCUCUAUGAGUUGUAAACUGCUUUUGUACAAGGGUAAACCUGAAUACGUGUAUUCAGCUGAUAGUACUGUACGAAUAAGGAUCGGAUAACUCAGUGCCAGCAGCCGCGGUAAUACGGAGGAUCGAAGCGUUACCCGGAUUUAUUGGGUUUAAAGGGUGCGUAGGCGGAUUGAUAAGUUAGAGGUGAAAUGUCCGAGCUCAACUCGGGAACUGCCUCUAAUACUGUUGAGCUAGAGAGUAGUUGCGGUAGGCGGAAU
rnacentral:rRNA from 1 species